GACGAACGCUGGCGGCGUGCUUAACACAUGCAAGUCGAACGAGAAAGCCCUUCGGGGUAAGUACAGUGGCGAACGGGUGAGUAACACGUGGGCAACCUGCCCCAGAGAGCGGGACAACCCGGGGAAACCCGGGCUAAUACCGCAUGAUGCGUCUCCACCUACGUGGAGCCGCCAAAUGGUAGCUUCGGCCUCCGCCCUGGGAUGGGCCCGCGCCGGAUUAGCUAGUUGGUUGGGGUAACGGCCCACCAAGGCGACGAUCCGUAGCUGGUCUGAGAGGACGAUCAGCCACACUGGGACUGAGACACGGCCCAGACUCCUACGGGAGGCAGCAGUGGGGAAUCUUGCGCAAUGGGCGAAAGCCUGACGCAGCAACGCCGCGUGGGGGAAGAAGGCCUUCGGGUUGUAAACCUCUUUCAGUAGGGACGAAGCUUCCGGGGUUAAUAGCCUACGGGGUGACGGUACCUACAGAAGAAGCCCCGGCUAACUACGUGCCAGCAGCCGCAGUAA
rnacentral:rRNA from 1 species